UACGAAGGGGGCUAGCGUUGCUCGGAAUCACUGGGCGUAAAGCGCACGUAGGCCGAUUGUUAAGUCAGGGGUGAAAUCCUGGAGCUCAACUCCAGAACUGCCCUUGAUACUGACGGUCUCGAGUCCGGGAGAGGUGAGUGGAACUGCGAGUGUAGAGGUGAAAUUCGUAGAUAUUCGCAAGAACACCAGUGGCGAAGGCGGCUCACUGGCCCGGUACUGACGCUGAGGUGCGAAAGCGUGGGGAGCAAAGCAGGAUUAAGAUACCCCCGUGUAGUC
rnacentral:rRNA from 1 species